AUUGAACGCUGGCGGCAUGCUUUACACAUGCAAGUCGAACGGCAGCGCGGGCUUCGGCCUGGCGGCGAGUGGCGAACGGGUGAGUAAUGCAUCGGAACGUGCCCAGUAGUGGGGGAUAGCGCGGCGAAAGCCGGAUUAAUACCGCAUAAGACCUGAGGGUGAAAGCGGGGGACCGAAAGGCCUCGCGCUAUUGGAGCGGCCGAUGUCGGAUUAGCUAGUUGGUGGGGUAAAGGCUUACCAAGGCGACGAUCCGUAGCUGGUCUGAGAGGACGACCAGCCACACUGGGACUGAGACACGGCCCAGACUCCUACGGGAGGCAGCAGUGGGGAAUUUUGGACAAUGGGGGCAACCCUGAUCCAGCCAUGCCGCGUGCGGGAAGAAGGCCUUCGGGUUGUAAACCGCUUUUGUUCGGGAAGAAAUCCUCUGGGCUAAUACCCCGGGGGGAUGACGGUACCGGAAGAAUAAGCACCGGCUAACUACGUG
rnacentral:rRNA from 1 species